GCCCGGAGGAGGCGGGCCCGAGAACCGGCUCAUGGUGGGGGGUGGGGGGAAGAUGGCGGAGCUGAUGCUCCUCAGCGAGAUCGCCGACCCGACGCGCUUCUUCACCGACAACCUGCUGAGUCCGGAGGACUGGGACAGCACCUUGUACAGUGGCCUGGAUGAAGUGGCCGAGGAGCAGACGCAGUUGUUUCGUUGCGUGGAGCAGGAUGUCCCGUUUGACAGCAGCUCUCUGGAUGUGGGGAUGGAUGUCAGCCCCCCUGAGCCCCCCUGGGACCCUCUACCCAUCUUCCCAGAUCUUCAGGUGAAGUCUGAGCCGUCCUCUCCCUGCUCUUCUUCCUCCCUCAGCUCAGAAUCCUCACAUCUUUCCACAGAGCCCUCCAGCCAGGUUCCUAGAGUAGGGGAGGUGCUGCAGGUAAAGAUGGAGUCCCUGGCACCCCCACUCUGCCUGCUGGGAGAUGAUCCAGCGUUCCCCUUUGAAACAGUCCAGAUCACUGUGGGCUCUGCCUCUGAUGAUCUCGCAGAUAUCCAGACCAAGCUAGAACCCGCCUCUCCGUCUUCCUCUGUCAACUCCGAGGCCUCCUUGCUGUCAGCAGACUCUCCCAGCCAGGCUCUUAUAGGAGAGGAGGUUCUGGAAGUGAAGACAGAGUCUCCGUCCCCUCCAGGGUGCCUCCUCUGGGAUGUCCCAGCCUCUUCACUUGGAGCUGUCCAGAUCAGCAUGGGUCCGUCCCCUGAUAGUUCCUCAGGGAAAGCUCCUGCCCCUCGGAAGCCUCCACUGCAGCCCAAGCCUGUGGUGCUAACCACAGUUCCGGUGCCACCUAGAGCUGGGCCUGCCAGCACUGCUGUCCUUCUGCAGCCCCUGGUCCAGCAGCCCACAGUAUCCCCGGUGGUUCUCAUCCAAGGUGCUAUCCGAGCCCAGCCUGAAGGGCCAGCUCCCGCAGCCCCGCGGCCUGAGAGGAAGAGCAUUGUCCCAGCCCCUAUGCCGGGGAACGCCUGCCCGCCUGAAGUGGACGCGAAGCUGCUGAAGCGCCAGCAGCGGAUGAUUAAGAACCGGGAGUCGGCCUGCCAGUCCCGCCGCAAGAAGAAGGAGUACCUGCAAGGCCUGGAGGCCCGGCUGCAGGCCGUGCUGGCCGACAACCAGCAGCUGCGCCGGGAGAAUGCUGCCCUCCGGCGGCGGCUGGAGGCCCUACUGACAGAGAACAGCGAGCUCAAGCUGGGGUCUGGAAACAGGAAGGUUGUCUGCAUCAUGGUCUUCCUUCUCUUCAUUGCCUUCAACUUUGGGCCUGUGAGCAUCAGCGAGCCACCUCCAGCUCCCAUCUCUCGGAUGAGCAGGGAGGGACCCCGACCCCAGAGGCAUCUGCUGGGGUUCUCAGAACCAGGGCCAGCUCACGGCAUUGAACCCCUCCAGGAAGCUGCCCAGGGCCCUGAGGAGCAGCAGCCCAGCCCUGCAGGCAAGCCCAGCUUCAGAAACCUGACAGCCUUCCCCGGUGGGGCCAAGGAGCUGCUGCUGAGAGACCUGGACCAGCUCUUCCUUUCCUCUGACUGCCGCCAUUUCAACCGAACUGAGUCUCUGAGGCUUGCUGAUGAGCUGAGUGGCUGGGUCCAACGUCACCAGAGAGGUCACCAGAGAGGUCGACGGAAGAUACCUCACAGGGCCCAGGAGAGACAGAUACUUCUCCUUCCAGAAGUCUCAGCUACGGAAGAAGUCCCCUCCAGUGAAACCAGUCCCCACCCAACCUCCAGGACCCCCUGAAAGGGACCCCGUGGGCCAGCUGCAGCUCUACCGCCACCCAGGCCGCUCACAGCCGGAGUUUCUAGAUGCAAUUGACCGGAGGGAAGAUACCUUCUAUGUUGUCUCCUUCCGAAGGGACCACUUGCUGCUCCCAGCCAUCAGCCACAACAAGACGUCCAGGCCCAAGAUGUCGCUGGUGAUGCCAGCCAUGGCCCCCAAUGAGACCGUGUCAGGCCGGGGGCCCGCCGGGGACUAUGAGGAGAUGAUGCAGAUUGAGUGUGAAGUCAUGGACACCAGGGUGAUUCACAUCAAGACCUCCACGGUGCCCCCCUCACUCCGGAAGCAGCCGUCCCCGUCCCCAGGCAAUACCACAGGUGGCCCCUUGCCAGGCUCCGCAGCCAGUCCGGCCCAUCAGGCCUCCCACCAGCCCCUCUACCUCAAUCAUCCCUGACCUCUUCAGCCCAUAUUGGCUUAGAACCGGGUUGGGGAGCCUGAUCCUGGGGCUCGGGGCAGUUGGUAAAGGAAGGUGGGGUGUGGGGAUUAAGCACUUAGCGGGACAUGGGUGGGUGGUUCACCUCUCUUCUCACUCUCUCCGGAAUAUAGAGCUCCUCUGGUUCCUGCACCCCCAGUCCUCUUUCUCCGAGGGCACUGCGUGAGGGUGGCUCCUGUACCCUCUUCUGUACCUGUACCUUUAUCUAUUCGGGAGUAAAGGUGGGACUUGGUCCCCAGGUGGGACAGGGGAUGGUCUCGGGUGGCACAAGGCAGUUAUGUGUGUGCAUAUCUUUUUUAUUAUUAUUAAAUAAACAACUUGGAGGGGUGUAAAGGAA